ensembl:lncRNA
GAGAGAGAGAGAGAGAGAGAGAGAGAGAGAGAGAGCUAGCAGAAGAGGUGCAACAAGUUCCUAUUGAAUUAAACAAGUCUUUACUUUGACCAGAUCUUAAAAAGCUUCCACUAAAAAGCCUCUUAUGUGGGGCAUAUGUAAAUACGCAGUGUGCACAAUCGUAAAAAACCACAAGCAACUGACCAGUGAUAACUGUGAAAGAUACCACACAUCAGAAUGUAAUGUAAGAGAUGCUCAGACGUCUUUGAAUUAUUGUAAAAAUGUAUCAGUAUACUGUAAUAAUGUCUUUUUGCUAUUGCUAAUAACACACAGUAUUUCUUUUAUGUAAGUGCUGGGUCUCCAAAGAAAAAUCUAAUGUUUGAAAACACAUACAUGCAGUUGAGGCCUAAUCAUAAUUGCUGCAAGACCUGUGGUAAUCAUGAUGGUAUUAGGAUUUCAUUCUAAUUUGUGUUGUACAGUUAUUUCAUUUUUAACCUUAAUUUAUAUUUAUUCCUUCCUAGUUAAAUUUACCCUUUUUAAUUUUUCAUAUUUAUUUCCUAUCUUAUUCAUAGCCUUUUCCUUUUUUUGUUUUCUUUAGGUCAUGAGCAGUUGUCCAAGCAUUUCACUACAUAUCGUACUGUGUAUGACUGUGUACGUGACAAAUAAAUUUGAAUUUGAAUUUGAGGAUUGUUCCCCAUUUAUGUGUUGUACAGCACGAUCAGGGGAUCUCCCACAUAGUCAAAUCUGUAAACGUGUCUUCAAAUUGAACAAUAGAUUUUUUAAAAAAAAACAACUAAUCGUUUUACUCCAGAUAACUUUGCAUCAUUUAAGUCAUCAGCAUGAUAAGAAACAGGAUGCAAACAACUCUGUGGGGGGGGUGAACGUGAUGAUGGUGGUGCUGGACUUGUCUGAGAAAGAGACUGCUGGGCCAUUGAUCUAACACAACACAUCACUCCAGCUCCAUUUACACAACCAAUCACAUCCCCUGCUGAUUGAUGUGUGGAUAAUUGAGCUGUCACCAGGGUUUCCAUGUUUCUCCUCUAGUUUGCUCCUGACUUUAGGAAUUGUAUUGUAUUUUACUUUAAGUCCAUUUACAACAAAGGACAUCCUGACGUGUACGUAUGUCAAUAUUCUGCCAGAUGCCUGUCAGGGAGACAGAGAGAUGCUAACUCGUGCAUCAAGCAUGAUAGACUACUAGCCUGUCCAGGCUAAUUAACCUCAGGGGCCAGGACUCCGGCAACCCAUCAGGGUCAGUCUGUUUGGCAGCUGCUUCAUCAAUGGAGCCCUACAUGAGAUUGGACUUUUAUUCUUUCACAAUGACAACCAUUUUUACUGUAUGUGUGUACUUUGCUCUAUCUCUAUUCUGUAGUUCAACUUUGGGU